rnacentral:miRNA from 1 species
AAAGUUGUUCUAACAAAUCUGAUACAGUCGUGAUAUAACAAGAAUGUUACAAGCUAGGUUCAGGACACAAGGUUGUAACAAUAUUGUUAUAUCAUGACUGUAUCGGGCUUGUUGGAACAACCUU